rnacentral:rRNA from 1 species
AGAGUUUGAUCCUGGCUCAGAACGAACGCUGGCGGCAGGCUUAAUACAUGCAAGUCGAGCGCGUAGCAAUACGAGCGGCAGACGGGUGAGUAACGCGUGGGAAUCUACCCAGCUCUACGGAAUAACUCAGGGAAACUUGAGCUAAUACCGUAUACGUCCGAGAGGAGAAAGAUUUAUCGGAGUUGGAUGAGCCCGCGUUGGAUUAGCUAGUUGGUGGGGUAAUGGCCUACCAAGGCGACGAUCCAUAGCUGGUCUGAGAGGAUGAUCAGCCACACUGGGACUGAGACACGGCCCAGACUCCUACGGGAGGCAGCAGUAGGGAAUAUUGGACAAUGGGCGAAAGCCUGAUCCAGCCAUGCCGCGUGAGUGAUGAAGGCCCUAGGGUUGUAAAGCUCUUUCGCCGGUGAAGAUAAUGACGGUAACCGGAGAAGAAGCCCCGGCUAACUUCGUGCCAGCAGCCGCGGUA